GUUCGUUAAUUUCGAAAAACGAUAAUGCGAGUUGUGAUACGUAAAAUGGUAAAUAUUAUAGAUCGAAUUGUGUAUAAACCGCGGAUCCAUCAAUUUUUAUUGUUCGAGACGAAGUUAACAAGCAUGUUUUACACGUAGCGGCUUCUGAGUGGAUACAAUGUUUUGAAGCCAAAAAUAUUUUGAGUGACUUCCCUGAAGAAUGAUAGUAACGAGAUGGGCGCCCCCACGACGUCCGUCUCAGCCCGUCGCGGCGAUCGUCAUUAGGUUUCAACGCCUGCCGCCUGCCAGACGGACGCUACCGCGACGUUCUUUCGGAAAACAUCACUGAUUGCCGAUUGAUUUGGUUAACUCGUUAUUUUUCAUGUAUGUAAUGUGAAUAUGAUUAGAUGUGCUGUUAAAUAUUUAGGAGGAUUGAGUUAGAUAAUGACAAAUAUUUUGUUUUUUUUUUUUUUAUUUAUGGAAUGAGGCCAAACUUUAGUUUACGUUUUAGUUGCUUUUUUUAUAUAAAGAGAAUGUAAUAGAUACUACAAAAUUAACAUGGAAUAAAUAGGAAAAUAAUAAAUGAUAUCCAUUGAAAUUGUUGAUCUUGUGGAGUAAAAAUGGCGGAUAUGCUUUUCGAUAGAAUCGGAAGAUGUCGUUACCGCUAUUAGAAGAAUUACAAGUUGCAUACAUAUUAGGAGAAAUCUUGAAUAUUCAUUUUAACAACAGAUAAUUUCUAAUUAUUACGUUUACUUUUCUGUAAUAAUAAAUAUAGUUGUACUUUUUAGAAAUAAUUUGAAAAACAAUCUGGUAUAUUCACAUAUAAGAUAAAUCAUCACGAAACGACUCUAGCCGGUUGAUUAUUUGACGUUUACAGUAUUAUAAAUAUCUAAAUCGAGAAUCUUCAAUUGAUUUUAGUAGUUUUAUAUUAAUUAAUCGAAAUAUAUUUAUGAUAUCUUCAAUUUAAAGUAUUUAAUUAAGCCUUGUUACGAUGAAAGGUGACACGAAUUUUUGAAUAACAAAGCC